rnacentral:rRNA from 1 species
UACGUAGGGCGCAAGCGUUAUCCGGAAUUAUUGGGCGUAAAGAGCUCGUAGGCGGUUUGUCGCGUCUGCCGUGAAAGUCCGGGGCUCAACCCCGGAUCUGCGGUGGGUACGGGCAGACUAGAGUGCAGUAGGGGAGACUGGAAUUCCUGGUGUAGCGGUGAAAUGCGCAGAUAUCAGGAGGAACACCGAUGGCGAAGGCAGGUCUCUGGGCUGUAACUGACGCUGAGGAGCGAAAGCAUGGGGAGCGAACAGG